rnacentral:rRNA from 1 species
AAGCAACGCGAAGAACUUACCAGGUCUUGACAUCCUCUGACAAUCUGAGAGAUCAGACGUUUCCCUUCGGGGACGAGAGAGACAGGUGGUGCAUGGUUGUCGUCAGCUCGUGUCGUGAGAUGUUGGGUUAAGUCCCGCAACGAGCGCAACCCCUGUGGUUAGUUGCCAUCAUUCAGUUGGGCACUCUAAGCAGACUGCCGUGGAUAACACGGAGGAAGGUGGGGACGACGUCAAAUCAUCAUGCCCCUUAUGACCUGGGCUACACACGUGCUACAAUGGUCUGAACAGAGGGCUGCGAAACCGCGAGGUGAAGCUAAUCCCUUAAAACAGAUCUCAGUUCGGAUUGCAGGCUGCAACUCGCCUGCAUGAAGUUGGAGUUGCUAGUAAUCGCAGAUCAGAAUGCUGCGGUGAAUGCGUUCCCGGGUCUU